AGCGAACGCUGGCGGCAGGCUUAACACAUGCAAGUCGAGCGGGCAUCCUUGUGGUGUCAGCGGCAGACGGGUGAGUAACGCGUGGGAACGUGCCCUUCGGUUCGGAAUAACUCAGGGAAACUUGAGCUAAUACCGGAUACGUGCGAGAGCAGAAAGGUUUAGCUGCCGAAGGAUCGGCCCGCGUCUGAUUAGUUAGUUGGUGAGGUUAUGGCUCACCAAGGCGACGAUCAGUAGCUGGUCUGAGAGGAUGAUCAGCCACACUGGGACUGAGACACGGCCCAGACUCCUACGGGAGGCAGCAGUGGGGAAUAGUGGACAAUGGGGGCAACCCUGAUCCAGCCAUGCCGCGUGAGUGAUGACGGCCUUAGGGUUGUAAAGCGCUUUUCUUCGGGACGAUAAUGACGGUACCGGAGGAAUAAGCCCCGGCUAACUUCGUG
rnacentral:rRNA from 1 species